UCUAAAGAUAAUGACGUUUUCUUCACAAAUUUACACUCGUUCAGCGGUUUCCUAUUUAGCUCUUCAUUAUCACAAUUUUCGACAUUAUCUUUACCUGAUAUCCUAGAACGAUACACACAGGGAGAUCUUUCCUCUGAAAACGGCUGACUGUCUCGAAUUUGGGACUGUCUAGAAUUUUGUGGACUGACUGUCUGGAGUUUCGUGGGCUGGCUGUGGAGGGCACUGCAGCUGAUAUCAAUGGAGUUUACAAAACGAGCGUUUAUGUUGGUUGUUGUGUUCGUGCUUACCUGCCGCACACUGGCCAACAACGGCACCUCCAACGAAACAACCAUAGUGCCGGAUGACCAUGGAUCUAAUCCUCACAACGAGGCAUCAUGGACCGUCGCCGUUUCCUUGACAACACUUCUAUGUGCAGCCAUUUUGAAUAAAAUAUUCUAAUGAGACUUGGGAGGUCCUAUAGAUGUACAGUUUUGCUGUACAAUAGCUUCAAAUGUAUAUAAAUUCAAAGUCAUAUAACUUUUGUCUAUCUUUAUGUGUAUAAAUUGUAGAACAGACAUAUUCUUGUGAAAGUCAUAUAUUGACCCAGGCUCAAAACCAUUUCAGAGUUUUAAUUGUGCAACUUGUGUGUCAUUUCAUAUUGAUCAAUUACAUAAACAACCCAUUCAUAGGUGUUUCUGGCGGAAAAAUGUCAUUUUAAACUCUUGGUUCAAUUUAUACUGAUGCAUAUUUUAUAAGUUUUAAUUGUUUCUGUAAAAUAUUAAAAUACUGCUUGCACUUAAAAAAUACUGUGCAUAUCUGGAUAUACAAUGUACAAUGUUCAAAUUAUCAACAAAAUCAAGAUAAGAAUGUUCAUUAUCAUAAUUAUGCUGUAGCUAAAGUACAUUUUAACAAGUACCUCAUGUAUUCUGCAGAGCUUCCCAUGAUUCACGAGAUGAAAUGUAAUUUAACAGAUUUGUAUCCUAAUAUCACAACCUCCUGAUAUUUGUAAGAAGCCGCAUCUCCUUAUUCACUUUAUGUACUUAGUGGAGUUGUUCUUGCUCUCUGUGAUGAAUUUUGUUUUCCAGUUCAAACAAUAUUUAUAUAGGAAGCUGAAACAUUGCAAUUUUUGUUUCCUUUCCACCAUUUUACAUAUUGUUUUAAAAAAAAAUUACCCACGUCCAUCUGUCUGCCCAUUCCACAUAGAAUACAUACUAUUAGUUCAAAUUCUGCCCAUCCCAUAUAGAUACAUAGUUCAAAUUAACUCUUCCUUCUACCCAUCCUACAGAGUUCAAAUUAACUCAUGUAUGCCCAUCCCAUAUGGUUCAAAUUAACUCCUCCUUCUGUCCAUCCCACACUGGUGCAUGGUUCACAGUAACUCCUCCUUCUGUCCAUCCCACAUGUGGUACAUGGUUCACCGUAACUCCCAUGUUGAUAACCACAGGUUAUUGUUUCCAUUCCACAAACCCAGAUUUGUGGAAUUGAAUGGAGACAAUUCCCUGUGGUUUGAGAGGAUGAGUUGAGAAACAAUACCCAGUGGUUUGCAAGGAUGAGUAACUCCUCCGUCAGCCCAUCCUACACGGAGCACAUGGUUCAGAGUAACACAUGCUUUCCCUGCAUUUGUCUUUGAAAUGACUAAAAAUCUAUAUUUCUAACACCCUCUUGGUUCAAAGUUUGUGCUACAUUCAUUAAUCACAAUAAGUUUGACACAUGAUACACAGAUCUAGUUUUCAUUGAUGCUCAUGGUCCAUUAUUCCUAUUCAAGUGACUGACUGAACAGAAGGAUUUUCAAAGAAAAACAACAAAAAAUAUUCUACACUGUGAUGCCAUAUUCUAAUUUCGGAGAAAUCAAAUAAUAUCUCAUUUCAGGGCAAGAAAUGGAUAUUGUUUGACCUCAUCCUUUUUUUAGCUGCAGAACUGUUAGUUCUCAGAGAAAAUAUUGGGAUAGAUCUGUCCCAAUAUUUUCUCAGAGAGCUACAUUUCUGCAGCUACCAUUUUUAAUGAAUGACGGGAUGUUGAAAUUUUUCUGUUCUACAUGACCAUAUUUGUAUAUCACGAUGCUUUAUGGCCCAGUAAUGUCUGUCCAUCCGUCUGUCUGGGGUUUCUUUACUGAUAUCGAUUAAUAUGCUUUCACAGAAUGAAUUAAAACUUGCUUGUGGAAACUCCAGAGCAUAUAUUUGCAAGAACUAUUCCUUUUCUUUGUAAACUUAAUUUUCACACAGAGAGUACAUGGUUCGCCAGUCAAACUCCUCCAGUUUACAAGCUAGGACCUUAUAAGUGUUUUAUUGAAGAUGAGUAUAUAUGUUGUAAUACAGUGUAGAUUUGAUUUUCUUUCCUUUUUUCAUUUUGAACUUGAUUUAAAAAGUGUGGAUGCUUUCCUCUGACGACAAGGGUAUUUCUGAACCAUUGGCUGCAUUCAUGUUUAGAACUCAUUUUACCACAAAAGUUGGGUUUUUUUGCAUUAGUUACAAUCACAUUUUUAAAACUCCUUGUAAUGUUGAAAACUAUCAGUCUGAGAAAGCAACAAGACAGGGUAUCCCACAUUGUGGGAACAUCAGUGUUACUUUAAUGUCACAGGUUUACUAAAUCUAUCAUCUUCCCUAAGCUUCAUUCAAGUCUGCAAUGGGGGAUCAAUGUUGUCUAGUUAUUAACUUGUCAUAAAAAAAUCAAUUCAGUUUGUAAAAAGAUGAUCAACCUUAGAAGAAUUGUCAGACACCUGCUACUAAAAUAAAAAUACAUUGUCAGAUUAAACUCAAAAAGUUGAAACACUUUACAAUGUUAUACAUUCAUUUAUUUGUGAAUUGUACUGUCUGUAAAUGUUAAUCUAAUGAAUAAAAAUAACAUUCUAUUGAGAAAAA